rnacentral:rRNA from 1 species
AUUGAACGCUGGCGGCAGGCUUAACACAUGCAAGUCGAGCGGAGCGGCGGACGGGUGAGUAAUGCCUGGGAAUCUGCCUGGUAGUGGGGGAUAACGUCCGGAAACGGGCGCUAAUACCGCAUACUAUCAGAUGAGCCUAGGUCGGAUUAGCUAGUUGGUGGGGUAAAGGGCUACCAAGGCGACGAUCCGUAACUGGUCUGAGAGGAUGAUCAGACACACUGGAACUGAGACACGGUCCAGACUCCUACGGGAGGGAGCAGUGGGGAAUGUUGGACCAUGGGCGAAAGCCUGAUCCGGCCAUGCCGCGUGUGUGAAGAAGGGCUUCGGAUUGUAAAGCACUUUAAGUUGGGAGGCGUUACCAACAGAAUAAGCACCGGCUAACUUCGUGCCAGCAGCCGCGGUAAUAC